CUCGACUGCAUGAAGCCGGAAUCGCUAGUAAUCGCGGAUCAGAAUGCCGCGGUGAAUACGUUCCCGGGUCUUGUACACACCGCCCGUCACACCAUGGGAGUCGGAAAUGCCCGAAGCCGGUGGCCUAACCGAUAAGGGAGGAGCCGUCGAAGGCAGGUCCGAUGACUGGGGUGAAGUCGUAACAAGGUACC
rnacentral:rRNA from 1 species